GAUGAACGCUGGCGGCGUGCCUAAUACAUGCAAGUCGAGCGAACAGACGAGGAGCUGCUCCUCUGACGUUAGCGGCGGACGGGUGAGUAACACGUGGAUAACCUACCUAUAAGACUGGGAUAACUUCGGGAAACCGGAGCUAAUACCGGAUAAUAUAUUGAACCGCAUGGUUCAAUAGUGAAAGACGGUUUUGCUGUCACUUAUAGAUGGAUCCGCGCCGCAUUAGCUAGUUGGUAAGGUAACGGCUUACCAAGGCGACGAUGCGUAGCCGACCUGAGAGGGUGAUCGGCCACACUGGAACUGAGACACGGUCCAGACUCCUACGGGAGGCAGCAGUAGGGAAUCUUCCGCAAUGGGCGAAAGCCUGACGGAGCAACGCCGCGUGAGUGAUGAAGGUCUUCGGAUCGUAAAACUCUGUUAUUAGGGAAGAACAAAUGUGUAAGUAACUAUGCACGUCUUGACGGUACCUAAUCAGAAAGCCACGGCUAACUACGUG
rnacentral:rRNA from 1 species